rnacentral:rRNA from 1 species
CUCCUACGGGAGGCAGCAGUGGGGAAUUUUGGACAAUGGGCGCAAGCCUGAUCCAGCAAUGCCGCGUGCAGGAUGAAGGCCUUCGGGUUGUAAACUGCUUUUGUACGGAACGAAACGGUCCUUUCUAAUACAAGGGGCUAAUGACGGUACCGUAAGAAUAAGCACCGGCUAACUACGUGCCAGCAGCCGCGGUAAUAC